GGCUUGUUGAAAAUAAUUAUAGGUCAGACCUGCCCAAUGAGUAGUUAAAUGGCCGCGGUAUUUUGACCGUGCAAAGGUAGCAUAAUCAUUAGUUUUUUAAUUGAAAGCUUGUAUGAAAGGUUAGAUGAAAAGAAAUCUGUCUCUGUAAAAUUUUUUUGGAAUUUUAUUUUUAAGUUAAAAAGCUUAAAUUUGUAUAGAAGACGAGAAGACCCUAUAGAGUUUGAUAUUUGAAAUAAAAUUAAUGUUUAAGGAAAAUCAAUAAUUAGGUUUUUUCCAAAUAUUUGGCUGGGGUGGCAUAAAAAUUAGAUUAACUUUUAUUAAAUUGAUUACAUUGAUUUAUGAAUAAGGGAUCCUGGAAUUAAGAUUGAAAGAUAAAAUUACCUUAGGGAUAACAGCGUAAUUUUUUUAAGAGUUCUUAUCAAAUAAAAAGAUUGCGACCUCGAUGUUGGAUUAAAAUGAAUUACUGGUGUAGAUGCUAGUAUAUUAGGUCUGUUCGACCUUUAAAAUUUUACAUGAUCUGAGUUUAGACCGGUGUGAG
rnacentral:rRNA from 1 species